rnacentral:rRNA from 1 species
CCUACGGGAGGCAGCAGUGGGGAAUAUUGCACAAUGGGCGCAAGCCUGAUGCAGCGACGCCGCGUGAGGGAUGACGGCCUUCGGGUUGUAAACCUCUUUCAGUAGGGAAGAAGCGAAAGUGACGGUACCUGCAGAAGAAGCGCCGGCUAACUACGUGCCAGCAGCCGCGGUAAUACGUAGGGCGCAAGCGUUAUCCGGAAUUAUUGGGCGUAAAGAGCUCGUAGGCGGUUUGUCGCGUCUGCCGUGAAAGUCCGGGGCUCAACUCCGGAUCUGCGGUGGGUACGGGCAGACUAGAGUGAUGUAGGGGAGACUGGAAUUCCUGGUGUAGCGGUGAAAUGCGCAGAUAUCAGGAGGAACACCGAUGGCGAAGGCAGGUCUCUGGGCAUUAACUGACGCUGAGGAGCGAAAGCAUGGGGAGCGAACAGGAUUAGAUACCCUGGUAGUCCAUGCCGUAAACGUUGGGCACUAGGUGUGGGGGACAUUCCACGUUUUCCGCGCCGUAGCUAACGCAUUAAGUGCCCCGCCUGGGGNGACGCGCGAGACGAACACAANAGAGUAGACGCGUGAGACGNGCCGACGGACGACGACGAGGGAGAGG